rnacentral:rRNA from 1 species
UACGUAGGGUGCAAGCGUUAAUCGGAAUUACUGGGCGUAAAGCGUGCGCAGGCGGUCUUGCAAGACAGAUGUGAAAUCCCCGGGCUUAACCUGGGAACUGCAUUUGUGACUGCAUGGCUGGAGUGCGGCAGAGGGGGAUGGAAUUCCGCGUGUAGCAGUGAAAUGCGUAGAUAUGCGGAGGAACACCGAUGGCGAAGGCAAUCCCCUGGGCCUGCACUGACGCUCAUGCACGAAAGCGUGGGGAGCAAACAGG